GGGGGCUCAGCAUUCCGCCAUGCAGUCGAGGGGCAGCAUUUCCAGCUUGCUGGAAGAUGGCGACCGGCGCACGGGUGCGCAACGCGUAUAGAAUCUGCCUUGCACCGGGGAAUAGCCCGGAGAAAUUUGGAUUAACGCCCCAUGGUAUGUACUUGUGGCAUCACCUGUACAUUAAAGGUCACGGUGCAGGAUGACUAUGCGUCCCAUUAGCUUGUUGGCAGGGUAACGGCCUACCAAGGCUUCGAUGGGUAGGGGCCCUGAGAGGGGGAUCCCCCACACUGGUACUGAGACACGGACCAGACUCCUACGGGAGGCAGCAGUGAGGAAUAUUGGACAAUGGGCGGGAGCCUGAUCCAGCCAUGCCGCGUGCAGGAAGACGGUCCUAUGGAUUGUAAACUGCUUUUGUACGGGAAGAACAAGGGGCACGCGUGCCCUUCUGACGGUACCGUAAGAAUAAGGAUCGGCUAACUCCGUGCCAGCAGCCGCGGUAAUACGGAGGAUCCGAGCGUUAUCCGGAAUCAUUGGGUUUAAAGGGUCCGUAGGCGGGCCGCUAAGUCAGGGGUGAAAGUCUGCGGCUCAACCGUAGAAUUGCCCUUGAUACUGGUGGCCUUGAGUUAUGGUGAAGCAGCCAGAAUAUGUAGUGUAGCGGUGAAAUGCAUAGAUAUUACAUAGAAUACCGAUUGCGAAGGCAGGCUGCUAACCGUAUACUGACGCUGAUGGACGAAAGCGUGGGUAGCGAACAGGAUUAGAUACCCUGGUAGUCCACGCCGUAAACGAUGGAUACUAGCUGUCCGGGGCGCAGGCCUUGGGCGGCCAAGCGAAAGUGAUAGUAUCCCGACCUGGGGAGUACGUCCGCAAGGAUGAUACUCAAGGAAUUUGACGGGGGCCCCGCCACAAGCGGUGAGCAUGGUGGUUUAAGUUCGAUGAUACGGCGAGACCCUUACCAGGGCUUAAUGGUGU
rnacentral:rRNA from 1 species